rnacentral:rRNA from 1 species
UACGGGGGGGGCAAGCGUUGUUCGGAAUUACUGGGCGUAAAGGGUUCGCAGGUGGCCAACUAAGUCAGACGUGAAAUCCCUCAGCUUAACUGGGGAACUGCGUCUGAUACUGGUCUGGCUUGAGUGCAGGAGAGGAACGCGGAAUUCCAGGUGUAGCGGUGAAAUGCGUAGAUAUCUGGAGGAACACCGGUGGCGAAGGCGGGUCUCUGGGCCGAUAUUGACGCUGAGGAGCGAAAGCGUGGGGAGCAAACAGG